UACGGAGGAUCCAAGCGUUAUCCGGAAUCAUUGGGUUUAAAGGGUCCGUAGGCGGUUUAGUAAGUCAGUGGUGAAAGCCCAUCGCUCAACGGUGGAACGGCCAUUGAUACUGCUAGACUUGAAUUAUUAGGAAGUAACUAGAAUAUGUAGUGUAGCGGUGAAAUGCUUAGAGAUUACAUGGAAUACCAAGUGCGAAGGCAGGUUACUACUAAUGGAUUGACGCUGAUGGACGAAAGCGUGGGUAGCGAACAGG
rnacentral:rRNA from 1 species